CAAAUGCUUCUUGUAGCCACUGUAUAAUCUUAUAAUCUUUUUUUUUUUCCAUAUCGACGCGUAACUCAUUCGACGCUAAAAGGUUAACGUAGCGUGCAUAAAGCUCAGCGAGCCAUUUGCCUUAAUCAGCAACGUAGUUAAUAAAUGAAACAUACUUUUACCAGAGGCACUUUCGCGUGAUCUUUACGAUACACCGUUGCACCGCCAGUUUUCUUCCGUUUCACAAUUUUAAUCAGAAUAAUGGGAUUAUACGAGGCAGAAACUAAGCGAAAUAUUAAUUCGGAGAUGCUGCCGGUAUACUUGAAAUUCAUCAGCGGCCGGGCAAACGAAUGGCUCUCGCCGAUUGUAAAUUCUAUCCCCGUAACCUUGUUUCGAACCUGCUCGUUUUCAUGUCGGUAACGCAGACAGCGACACAGGCAACGAGGAAAAAACGUUGCGAGUUUACUUUCACGCGUAUAUAAGAAACACGUUCGAUGUAUUCUGCCUGCGUUUCAUGCGUUUCCUCGUUCCUACUAUUUUCGAUUCAACGAGAUACACCGAGCCAUACCACACAGGGUGUCUUCUCAUGGUUUGAUAGCCAAACUUCGUCACUACGUUAUUACGAGUAUAACGAAGCGAAAAAUGUUAUAUAAAUAGAGUCGUCAACGAGUCAUCAACAUUCGACUGGACGCGUUCAAUACGAUGGUGCAUCGCCCUUCAAGGACCAGGUGUGCGAUGUCAACGUCAACAACAGAAAAUUUGCGGUCCGUUAUUCCGCGGGUUAACGAUGGACACAAAUACCUCACAGAUAAUUUGCAACAUCGAUCGAUUAUUGUAGAUUUAUUAGUAGAUUGUAACUAUAAUUUGAAAAAGAUUUAGCGCGUAAUUUAGACAUUACUGUAGUUAGCUUCUUCAAAGAUCAAGCAAAACAUUGAUAUUCGAACUUCAUAAAAUAAAAUAAAAAUCGAAUGAAAUCGAAUUUGUAACUGGAUCGAGGUUGAUGCCAUCGCGAUCGAGGAAGAAGUCGCGAGUGGAUGCGAAUGGAAAAUAUCGGAAAGAUAUUGUGUAUAACGUACACGUGGUCCGCGUUCUUUACACGUCCGGAGGUGAAGGAAUUUCAAGUGGCGGUGCGCGAUGGCUCGCGGCUGGUUAAAUGCAAACUUGUCCUGGUGCCAAGUAAAGCCAAUUACUGCAUAAUACCGUCAGCUCCGUUAGUAGCUUUUGCUGGAACGCGACAGGGAACAGACAAAGCCAGAGACCUUGCCACGAUUAAGAAGCGCAGGCAAAGUGGCACACAACCACAAUUUUCAUAGAAAAUACAUGGCAGGUCGAGAUUCGGAUUUAUCGAAAUUUUGCUUGCCAAAGACGCGGCUAUUUCAUGGGAUCGAAUAAACGUCGUAGAUUUUCUAAUAGGAAAAGUGAACUUUUAGGGUUUGAAGGUUUAAGAUUGUAGUUGGAAAUUGUUAAAAAUAAUUAUAGGUCUUUAAUUUCCGACGAAUACGUCACAGUUUCAGGAAUACGUCGCGUUUGUUCGUUCGUAAAGAUCGAUUUCUAUGCAACGAUCAGCGUUGACAGGCUUUGUAAAAAGAAAUUUCAUUCGUCACUGUCUUAAUAUAUCGUUCAGAAAUGUUCGACUGAAUUAUUUAUUGAAACAGGCACUCGCGAGUCCUCCAUAACAAUCAACGUAAUCAACAUAAUGAUCUUCCUGCAAAAGCUCGCGCUUUUUCUAAUUCGUUAAAUAUGUAAUAUCGUUCGUUGAAUAUGUAUCUACGUACGUGUAUUUCCAAUUAUAGCGGACGUUUAAAUUUCAGAAUAUAAAAUACUUUCGAAAAAACAUCCGACUGUAGGUCUCCGCGUAAAGCAAUUUCUACUCAAUUUUUGACCAGGGAAGUUGCAAAAAUCGACUGACAAAAUAUCUACAUUUGUACAUAAAAAAAGAAAAAAGAAAUACAAGAUCGUACGAAUCGACUAAUGGCAGAAACUUGAUCGUAUUUUCCAACUUUAUCAAUCUGUAUGUACAAGGUGUGCCGUUUAAGACCGUCUAAACGUCUGAUUCACUUUUAACGAAGCGAGAGACGUGUCGAACAUCGUUCGAAAGGUUUUAAAACCUUCCCGAUUUUUUUUUUCAUCAAGUUUUUUACGUCACCGGUAUUUUUUGCCAGACAGCAUAUACUUUUUUCAUUGCAUCGUACGAUACGCGUUAAGAUGCAUCGUGAUGUGCCUGCCAGUCGUACGACAUCGAGACGACUCUGAACAUGAAAAAGAUAAUAAAGUUCCGAGACGAUGUUGGCACAGCAGCGAACUUUUUGUUGCGAUGUUCAUUAGCGGCGAUGCACCGUUCAAAGCGAGAAAUUACGGAUCGCGAUGCUCUUUCUACCUCCUCUAACGCGAUAGCUUUACAAGUUCCAGUUAUCCGAUUCUUCGUAUAUUCUGGACUAUCAGAUUACCGUUGAUAAACCUUUUCUUUCAACUUUCCGCAAGAUAAAAAUCUAACGCUGUUAAUUCCGAACAAUGUGCUGCUCGCGAAACAUGAUCGUUACGAUUAGGGAAUUUUCCAUUUAACACUUGCGUGGCAACUUAGAAACAACGAGCUGAACAGUCAUCAUCACGUUGGUACCACGCGUUUUCCACCAAGGAUUCAACGUUUCUCGUAUCGUUAACAAUGAAGCAGAUAUUUAGUUGAUCGGUUUUAAGUAGGACACUCUGUAUAUGAUCUACUUUUUAGUUAAACUCCGCGCAAAGCACCCAAUCCUCGAUCGAGGAAGUUACACGAGUCGUCGUGAUACGCACGGCCAGUCAUGGAACUAUUAACCCAUUUUUUAUCCGGCGCGCGAAAACUAGGGACACGUCGGUACACGAAGUGACUGGGAAUGGCGCUCAGCCUUGGGAAAAGGAUGGAAAAAGUGUCGGCGAAUGACAAACAAUAUUUUUUGCCCGGCUCUACGAGGGGACCACUGAACGAGAUUGAAUGACAUCUAACUCCCGCACUGCGUUUGUUCUUCCUUUUAUUUCGCGCCGUUGCACUCUCCACACCCUCGCCAACUUUGCUUUUACCCCUUUUUGUUCCCCUGCUACUCUUUCGUUCGUGUUUCUCUCGCCUAUACCCUGUGUUUGUUCUUCCAACUGUUCUUGUCGCCUGUUCCUCGUUUUUUUCUUCUUUUUCAUCGUUCUUUCUUCCUCCGGCCGACAAAAGUUACGACUGCCAACGAGAAAAUCGGAAUCGCGGAAGCUCGGAAUCGUCCGAGGAAUGGCCGCGGAAUACUGCACGAUGAAUAUUAAAGUAAGAAGAAAGAAAAUUGUAAAAUGUACGCAUAUGCAAAGAUUUAGAAAAUUGCUUAAAAUUGCAUUUAAAAUUGCAUUUAAAAUUUCAAUCGAUUAAAUUGGAAACAAGGCCAUUUUUAAUCCUUAACUAUCGUCUGUUGCAGGAAAGUUCUAUCUCUGAAUAUCUGUUUAUGUAUAUUCCAUACAUUUGUGUUAUAUUCGUGUAUGUUCAUGCGUAUUUUCUCUACAUUUUAUACGUUUCGAUUUCCAGUAAAUACACGGACAGGCGAAUGCAACGAUAGAACGUGGAUCAACGGAAUCGAAGCGAUUUCUUCGUAAUUCGUAACGAAGAAACGAUCGUGGAAAUUCGUAUCGUAGCGUGGAAACAGUAUUUGAAUUCGUGGCAUUCGUGUUGCAUUUCCGUAAUAUCUGGUUCGAUGUUAUCGAUAACGGCGCACUUUGCGAUUAAAUACCGUUUCGUCGGUCGAAUUGAAUCCUGGAGAAACGGUCGACAACUCGGAAACGCGAGGAUUAAUCGAUCUAUCGUUUGCGUAAUGCAACAGGCCGAUCUGGCCACCGAGCAUGAACCUUAACAAUGUUGUUUCCGGUGCUUUCCAUUCACCGAAGCCUCGUUAUGAUCCCAGCAAAGCGAUCGUUAAUUUCCGCUUGCUAUCGCAUAGUUUUUGUCGUUUUAAAUCAAAAUCGUUUGAUCAAACUACAUCUUGUUAAUCGUCAAGAAUUUCUAGUAUUACAUUUCUAUCGCAAAUAAUAUGAACUGACUUGAUUAAAUGCCAUUCAUGUUUUAUUCGUUUCUAAUUUCACCAGCAAAGAAGUGUUUGGUUAAGCAAUUACCCAGCUAUUAGAUAUGAAAACCAGAGAUCGAGGGAUUAAAACUAAACGAGCCUUCAGUUACCCUUUCAACCACCUUAUCCCAGGAAUAAAAUAGUAUUAUUAUUAUAUCCUUCUAAUGCUACUCGUCCUGUUCAAUGAACAUCUCAUCGCGAACGAGGAUUAUCGUGAAUAGCUUUCGAGCGGAGAGUCGACUAAAACUUACGAUUCUCUAGAAAUUUUGUAUAAAGAUGAACGCAUAAUUCCUGUGUUUAUUAUUUUUCUAUACGUUCGCCAAUUUUCAGGAUAAUUGGCAAAAUAAAUUUGUCAUCCCUCGCACCGAGGAUCGUCUUUGUCUUUAUCCCGUAGAAUUUCUGCUAUUGAUUUUAUUUACCUUGGAAUUUCUAAUUUCUCAUUACCGAUAAAGAUGAAUCGUAUUUUAUCUUUACAUUAUCGUCAAACUUACGAUUCUCUAGAAAUUUUGUAUAAAAAGGAACGCAUAAUUCCUGUGUUUAUUAUUUUUCUAUACGUUCGCCAAUUUUCGGGAUAAUUGGUAAAAUAAACUUGUCAUCCCUCGUACCGAGUGUCGUCUUUGUCUUUACCCCGUAGAAUUUCUGCUAUUAAAUUUAUUUACCUUGGAAUUUCUAAUUUCUCAUUACCGAUAAAGAUGAAUCGUAUUUUAUCUUUACAUUAUCGUCAAACUUACGAUUCUCUAGAAAUUUUGUAUAAAGAGGAACGCAUAAUUCCUGUGUUUAUUAUUUUUCUAUACGUUCGCCAAUUUUCAGGAUAAUUGGCAAAAUAAACUUGUCAUCCCUCGCACCGAGGAUCGUCUUUGUCUUUAUCCCGUAGAAUUUCUGCUAUUAAAUUUAUUUACCUUGGAAUUUCUAAUUUCUCAUUACCGAUAAAGAUGAAUCGUAUUUUAUCUUUACAUUAUCGUCGAACAAAACCAAUUUAACCAGAUACGAUUCGUUUUCGUUAAGUCUUCUGCUUCGCUAUUAUAAAUGCUUCUGGUGAAACGAUUAUCAGAUUAAAAAUCAUAAACUGUGGAUUAAAAUUAAACGAUUUUUCAAGCAUUUCUUAGCCGCGUCUAGCCUUCUAGAAGCGAAAGAGAAAAUUAUUCAGCCACCAAAUUCGUCGCCGUUGAUGAAUAUCUCAUCGCGAACAGUUAAUCAGAGAAAGUUAGAAUCGGAUCGGACCGAUGUCCGUGUUAAUUGGUCGGUCGGUUGCUAAACUUGAUUAGAAUCGUGAUUAGAAAAGCAAGGAAGUCGUUGAUUGAAGUAGCAAUCGGUGCAUUUCCACAGGAAAAUUACUCGAUUUUCGGGGUUUCACCGAAUUUAAUUCGAUCUCGCAAUCAGAGGUUGUAUUAUUGCCCGGGUCGUAACGAAUAUCGAAUUAAUUCGAUCCUCUCAUCACGUGCAUGUGUGUAAACAGAUGCGCAUGGUUUAUACACACGGGGAAAUUUCACUAAUUAACAACAGAUAGGUAAACGCGCACCUAUCGACGGAUAUCCGUGGACCGGAUUGUUUUAUCAAGGUUCGUCGUGUUUGUCUUGAUAAUAAUAAUAAUAACAACCGGGACAUAAUGAACUUUUCAAUUAUUCGUGACAUUGUCAGAAUUUACGUACUAUACUGUUAUACCGUAAUGGAUGCAAGAAGAAAUCGCAAUAUCAAGAACGCGGUAGUAAAUCCUAUCUUUGUAUUCUGAUUAAACAUUCCGAUUUAUUUUUUCUCUCAAGUUGAAAGUUUUGUAAAAAUUCUUAGUCCUCUCUGUCUACGAGUAUGAACGCGCUAAAUUAAACGUAAUUUCAGUUUAACCGAAUUCCAAACGAAGAAGGAAACCGCAGAACGCUGUGAAAAAUUUUAAUUAUUCUUCUAACGAAGCUUCGAAUCUACUCGUGAAAUUUAAUUAAAAUUAAUCCAAGAAAAUAGCUAGCCGAUACUAUACGAUAUUUUAACCGUACUUCCACGGAAGCUUUCUACUAUACGCCUUUUAUAUUUAACUUAAAUUAAACCACAAAAGAAUAUCACCAUGCAAAAUCUUAAUUGCCUUUCGUCGAAGCUUCGUGUUUAUUCUUUCGAUCGAGAUUCAAUUAAAAUCCGAAAAAAAAUCAUCCAAUAUCAUGUAGAAUUUCUAUCGUGUUAUUAGCGAAUUUCUAAAUGGAAAUAGAAAGAACGGAAUAUAAUAUCAUAGAUAGCUUUUAUUAUUAUUUUUAAAAUAAUCCUUCGUGCCCCUAAUUUCCAAAGGUAUCGGUAUUCGAUGGAAACGUUUCGCGUUAACGAUGAAACCUACGUUAUUCCUAUUUCUCGAUGUCGAAUUUAAUCCGAACGAUAUUUGUCCCGACGCUGGUCUCAAUCACGCGGUCAUAAGCUUUAUUGCUAGGAAGGGGCGAUAUAACGAAUAUUAAAUCGCGCGAAUGAAUACGCAUUCAAUUUGGUAAUGUUCUCGUUUGUGGUAUUAUACGAUGCUCACUGCGUGCUGCAAUAUGACUGCAUACGCGAAACUGGUUGCGAGGAAGUGGAUGUACGUGGACACGCGUGUUACAUCUCCCAUAACGCAAAUACAAGCGAAUUUGUCGAUGCUUCGUGAGCCCUGACACGUGACAUUGUUCAUUUAUUGCGACCGAUAUAAACGUUGACAAUAGUAACAUUUAAUAAACCGUUCGCGACUUAAACAUAUAUUAAUUUUCAUUGUUUCCUGUUGGUUGUAAAGGGAGGGAUAUCAUUUUCAGAAAGUCCAACGAUUAAAUAGCGUUUUCGUUUACGAGGAAUUUUUGGCGAGAUGGGCGGAUUAAAAAAGAUUUUGUGAACGAGAACUUUGCUGCGGUAGAGUUAAUUUAUGGUAUUUAUAUGGUGAAACGGUAGGGAUGGAAUUGCGAGAGACAAUUGCGGGAAGGACAGGAAGACGCGUGUUAUAUGGUUGAUCGGGGCAUCGUAAUUAGAAAUUACUCAAUUUUCGGAUUUUCAAAUCGCGGAAUUCACGGAGCUUGGAAUUCUCAAAGUUUUGCAAAGUUCCUAAAGCUCCGAAUUUUCAAAUCUUCGAAUUCCGAAACUUUCGAUCUUUCGAAUCGUUCGAUUCUGAAAAUGUUGAUUUCUUAAGCGUUAGAAUUCUUAAAAUUUCGUCUUAACGUAGUCCAUAGAACUUGGAAUUCUUAAAUUCUCUGAAUUUUUCAGAAAUUAUUAACCGUCCUUUUUAUCAGCAAGAAAAUGGAAAAAAAUGUGCAUCCGAAAACCUACGAAUAACUCUCGCGAUAUCAUUUAAUCGUAUUCAAUUUCUGCUGAAAGUAAUCGAAUACAACUCGCAUUCUGUCCGCGUUUCUUUUCCAUAGCAAUUCUACGAACUUUCUCCUUAAUCGACGAAAUAUCAUUUCUGACGUCAGUGGAAAAGUGCGAGUGGAACACUCGCUUUGUUCUCUCGAACCAUCUUUCCCGAGAUCAUUCUCCGUCGUUUUUUCGAAUGCUGAGAAUAGUCGAUCCCAGGAAGAAUCGUAAUUUUCUCGGCCUCCAUUCUCUGCAUCCCCGUUUCCUCGCCCAAUCUCUCACGAAGACAAAGACGCCUUCUUCUUUUCGUAUAUUGCCAGGGCAGAACGAAAUUCCUCGCGCGGUGAAAUUGAAAAUACCUUCGGGUUUCUUCAUUUUCAAGCGCAAGGUCUCGCCUCUUCUCGCAAACUGUCAUGGAUCGUUCGAUACUCUCUGCCCUUUCUCGUUUUCUCUCUUUCGCUUUUCGCUUAUUUGCACGCUUGUCGCGCUAAAGAGGGAUCAGGGCCAUUAAAACGAUUGCUUUCUUCCCGCUCCGGAUUGCUAAGUUCUACGCCACUCCUCUUUUUUUUUUAUUUUUCCUCCUCUUCCUUUUUUUUUCUUUUUCUUUUUUUUUACCGUCGUUUUAGAAUCGUAGUCUGUACGCGUAGUGGAAUUGUUAACGAUCGAAGACCGCAAGGAGAACAUAAAACGCGAUAAGUGUAUUCUUGUUGAUUUUUAUCGACUUUUAGUAAUUCGAUUGCCUCGAUGGUCGAGUACUUCGCUGUAACACGAUGGCAAAGAAUAAUUUUGCAAAGUUCAAAGACGUGAAUUAAAUCUGGUUGAGAAAUUGGUUGUGAGAGACUUUAGUCGUAGCGAUGACUGUAUCGUGGGUGUUUAUGUAUUUAUGGCAAAUUUAACAUUGUCAUUGGCAGAGACAAAUAGCUUUACAGAAUUAACGAUAUAAAAUAUGUUUUAAGUUACACGAAGCAUAUUAUGGAUUUAUAUUUGAUUUAUUUAAAGCUCCCAGUCUGUUGUGUAAAGUAGAUUAUGAAAACGUUUUUCAUCGAGAUUACACGAUCGAAAGAAAAAUAUUUUUGUUACGAAUUACCGAUACCUGCACAAAUAAAAUAUAAUCAAUUUUUCACUAUAUAAAAUGCUAUUACAAUUAAUUUCUUUAUACCUUUUUUAAAGACACCUGUUCCUCUAUGUACGUAUAUGAUAUUUACACAUUCAUUUCCGGUGCAAAUGCAUGUAACACGCGAAGCAUCAUUCGAAACGAUUUCAUUUUACCUAAUGGAAUAUUUUUUUACCUUUUAUUAUUUUAAAGUUAUGCCACGGACCAGUUGCGUGGGACGUUCUUUGCUGUUUGAAUAUUUUCGUUUUUCCUCUCUGUCUCUAACUUUCAAACUAUCCAUCUUAUUUCGUAAUCAACGACAUUUCAACUUCGUGGACGCUGUGUGUCGUCUUGACCAACGUGUCUACCGAAAUGACCUAAACUACGACCUAUCCUAUCGUGUUUACGUCUAACGUUCGAAAGCUUUCGAACCCUGGACAUUCCAGAAAGUAACAUUCAAAUUCCAAAAAUCAGCGAUUCGUUGAUCACCGUGUUUAGCACCGUAAAUAAAAUCAACGACGUUUCAGUCAUUUUACUUCUGUCUUUCGACAACGUUACGCGUUAUUUCGUUGAUUAAUUCUUUGAAAUAAGUUAUUUUCUGUAAGUAAUUUUCUUGGUAAGUAAUUUUCUGUAACGUAUCUCUUUACACACAGAUUGACGGAUGAACAGACAGACAGACAGACAGACAUAGAAUAUAAUUAAUAUUAUACUAGAAAAUAAUUUAAAAAUCACUUAGAGAUACUUAGAUAUGUAUUUUUGAAAUCAAAUAAGAACAUACUUUUAGUAACAUAAAACGAGUUGGGAACGUUGUGAACUUUUGAAAAUUGCCUCUCUUGGAAAAGAUGAAAAGUACGAAUUAUUAUCUCUUUCUGCUAUGGUUUUCAAUUAAAACAUGCUUUUUAAUUAGCGAGUAAUAUUCUCUUUUAUUAUCCAUUAUUUGCAAGAAAUUGCAUACGCUUAUCGUGAUUCGUUCUGCAAAGUAAUUAAUUACGUUUGAGGUGGUUACUGUAGGUGGUAUAAAUGACGGACCAAUUAGGUUCGAUCAAUCAUGGCUGUCGAUAAUUUUCAUGCACAAUGUAGAUGGUAUUUCAUAAGGUUUCUUUUGUAGAAUUUUUCCAAGAAUUCUUCCACCUUUUUAUUAUUUGAUUUAAUAGCCAUUAAAGGUAUCAUACAACCUGGGUGGAGUAAAAACCUCUUUUACCUAAUAUUUAAAAAUAUGUUGGCGUUUACUUUUCUGUUAUAAAUAAAAUAAUUUAAUAAAUAAUUUAAUUAAUAAAUAAAAUAAGAAUUUCUUUUUAAUUUUUUUAUUUUUUUUGUAAAUUUUUCCAUCGAGACAACGAUCUACAGUGAGAUCCGUUAUAACGAGACGCGAUAAAGUGCACACGUACCGAGCGAAAAUUCAAAGUCGAUUUUCCCGAAAACAAAGCCUCGAACGAAAAAUUUUUGUUCUAUAUUUUCGACUUCUUUUUUCGCGUAGAAUCACCCCCUUCCCGCUCGUGCCACCAGUUACCACCCACCCUGUAUAAGAUAGUUAUAACUAAAAUACCUCGCAGAAUAUUAAUUUCAGUAACACGAGGAUUCGGAAAAUUCAAAAUUCAAUAACGCUUUGAUUUAUAUUUCAUCGAUCGUCUUACGUUAAGUUGCUCUGUGGAGUAUUUAUUUUAAUACGAUACAAAUUCACGGAGAAUUCGAAAUUUAAUAACAUUCUGACAUUCGUUCCUUUUUCAAUAAUCCUAACGAUCCUAUCACAUCAAGAUGAUCUAAAUAAUUAGAACCUUAAUUUCAUUGAAAUAAGAAUUCGCACAAUUAUUUCAGGAUAUUUACUAAAUUUCGAUAUAUAUUUUCUUUUUAUACAAUAAUCGAUCAACACACGUAUUAAUGUAAUAUCAAAAUUUAAAAUUCACGAUUUAGAAGCUCUAUACGAUAAGAUUUUAGAAAGUUAAUUAUUUGCCAUCGGUCGGAGGAAGCCUGUCCGGUCGUAACCUGUAAUAGCUGUUCGCUCGACGUUGCUAUAGCGAAAGGGUUAAUUACCGUUGACCAGCACAUGGACGUAUAGUACACUUGACUUUGACGGUCGAAUAACCGCACAAGGUUUCGUGACGUUCCCGUUCUUCGUCCAAUCUUCUGAAUCGUUUUGCAUUGUUCUAACUUGCAUUUUUCACUCGUUAAAUCUUUGUUGAAAUGGAAUUGUUGGAGAGGAACUUUUUUCCUAAUUUUUUAGAGAAUCUUUCCCCGAAGAUCCUCGAAGAGUGGGUUUCUUGUUGAUCAAGAGAUCAAUUGUUAAAAAAGUAGAAUUUAUUUAACGACUAAUUUAUAUAUGUCGGAGAUGAAAGGACAUCGGGGCUUCCCUUUUGGAAUGUUGGGAAAAACCCCAAUACCCUAGUCCAGACUUUUACUAUAGCUACACUUAAUAAAACUAUAAAGGAUAUAACCUAACAAACACGAAGAUGGUACCCCGCUGGGGAUAGCCACCCACGUGAUAAUCAAACAGCUAAAAAAUUCUACCAAAUGUCCAAAUUGAACAAAUUGUGAAUGUGAAAUAUUAAAUAAAAAAAAAAUUUAAUAAAACUAAGAAAUAGUUUUAAUGUUCUAAUCCGAUUUUAUGACGAUGGGCUUGAGCUCGAAGUGACAUAACUGAUGGGUCACUGAACGUAGCCACGGUCACGGGAGGGACGUGUACCUGACAGAGGUAUGGAAUAAUUAUAUAGCCCUCCUUAAAAGCAAAGAGAGGUGGGGAGAAGAAUAUAUAAGGGCAGUUCCACUUGGACUGCAAGUUAGUUCAUUCAGAUAAGUUUUACUUGUACAUUGAGUCAUACGUGUGUCACAUCGCCUUCGUCAUCCCGUUGAACGUGGAUUCGUUAUCGAACCUGACUUCAUUGUCAUUAACAUCUUGACCACCCGAUCGCCGCUAUUACUUGUAGCCUCUCGUAGUGACCACAUUUGUACCAAUAAAUAUCAGCUACAACCAUUUACGAUGGUAAAUUUGAGCGAAGGUUCACCAAACGCUCAAAAUUCCAACCUUAACUCGACAUAUACAUUGGUUCAAGUUUAAUAGAAAUUAAAAUAAACCGACUCGUACUAGUAACGAGGAGAGAAAAUAUGAAAUUAUUUCAAGAGCGAGAAGGUACUUGGUUCUACAGCGAUUAAAAUCAGAUAAAUUUCGCGGAUUAAUAAAUUUACAACGUGAACGAUGACAUUGUCAAAAAAAAGUGCAAUCUAUCGUGUUGCAGAAAUUAAAAAUUGCCGUGCGAUAUAUUUCGAUCUCCUAGGGAUCCCGGGGAAAAAUGUACAAAAUUCCGAUGGCAGUCAACGUGUUAAAUUGGUCCGUAACAUCUGAUCUUGAAUCCCCUAUUAUCGAUAGGAGGGAAAUCAUUAUGGAGUAGCACGUAGUGAUCGAUCACCAUAGUUGUAUAACUGCGACGAUCGGACAAGGUCGGAAUGAUGUUCACUCGGGUAAUUCGCCCUUAGGAUUAUAUAGAUUCUCCGCACGACCUUAACGGCGGAUUCCGCUGAAAAUUUUCCGUGGUUUCGUCGGACGCUUCUAAAGGAACGCGGUAUUCUGGUUUGCAGCUGAAAUACAGGCUAGGAUUCCACGACCCUAUGGAAUUUUGGCGACUCCUUUGUAUUUUAUUGCGAGAGAAGAUUCUCGAAAUUAUUAUCAUAAGGAGAUAUUUACAGCAGCGGACGAAAGAAGGAAAUUUAUUUUGUAAAAUAAAAAGUGUAAAAAGGGCACUAUAAUUUCACGAUAUAUAUGUAAUAAGAGCAACGAAUAAAUACGACACGAAGGUUACUGAAAUUCAUAGCGCACCAAUUUCAAACCUUUCUCCUUGUUAAAUCAAAUUUUAAAUAUAUUGAAAUUGAAAAGCGAUCGAGCGAAAUGCAACGCGUAAAAUCGCAAAAGAUUGAAAUUGAUCAAUUUUUGAUUUUAUCGAACGGAACUAAAGGAACGAAAGCUAAAUAAAAAUUUGUUUCAUAUGCUCAA